rnacentral:rRNA from 1 species
UACGAAGGGGGCAAGCGUUGUUCGGAAUUACUGGGCGUAAAGGGCGCGUAGGCGGCUUACCAAGUCAGGCGUGAAAUUCCCGGGCUCAACCUGGGGGCUGCGCUUGAUACUGGUGAGCUUGAAUGCGGGAGAGGAUAGUGGGAUUCCCAGUGUAGAGGUGAAAUUCGUAGAUAUUGGGAAGAACACCGGUGGCGAAGGCGGCUAUCUGGCCCGUAAUUGACGCUGAGGCGCGAAAGCGUGGGGAGCAAACAGG